AGUAGUCAUAUGCUUGUCUCAAAGAUUAAGCCAUGCAUGUCUAAGUACAAGCCGAUUUAAGGCGAAACCGCGAAUGGCUCAUUAAAUCAGCUAUGAUUCAUUGGAUCUGUACCCACACUUACUUGGAUAACUGUGGUAAUUCUAGAGCUAAUACAUGCACCACGUCUCUGACCGCAAGGGAAGAGCGCUUUUAUUAGUUCAAAACCGGUCGGGCCUCGGUCCGUCACCCCACCGUGUUGAAUCUGAAUAACUUGUCGCUGAGCGCACGGUCUUCGAACCGGCGCCGCCUCUUUCAAGUGUCUGCCUUAUCAGCUUUCGAUUGUAGGUUAUACGCCUACAAUGGCUAUAACGGGUAACGGGGAAUCAGGGUUCGAUUCCGGAGAGGGAGCCUGAGAAACGGCUACCACAUCUAAGGAAGGCAGCAGGCACGCAAAUUACCCACUCCCGGCACGGGGAGGUAGUGACGAAAAAUAACGAUGCGAGACUCAUCCGAGGCCUCGCAAUCGGAAUGAGUACACUUUAAAUCCUUUAACGAGGAUCUAUUGGAGGGCAAGUCUGGUGCCAGCAGCCGCGGUAAUUCCAGCUCCAAUAGCGUAUAUUAAAGUUGUUGCGGUUAAAAAGCUCGUAGUUGGAUUUCAGUUCUGGACUGAUGGGUCACCGCCCGGUGAAAUUCGUCAAGCUCCGAACAGCCACAACAGCCCGCUGGCUCGCACGGGGUGCUCUUCAUCGAGUGUCCCGCGUGGCCGGCAGAGUUUACUUUGAAAAAAUUAGAGUGCUUAAAGCAGGCUACACUGACGGCCUGAAUGCCUAUGCAUGGAAUAAUGGAAUAGGACCUCGGUUCUAUUUUGUCGGUUUUCUGAACCCGAGGUAAUGACUAAUAGGAACAGGCGGGGGCAUUCGUAUUGCGACGCUAGAGGUGAAAUUCUUGGACCGUCGCAAGACGAACUACUGCGAAAGCAUUUGCCAAGGAUGUUUUCAUUAAUCAAGAACGAAAGUUAGAGGUUCGAAGGCGAUCAGAUACCGCCCUAGUUCUAACCAUAAACGAUGCUGACCAGCGAUCCGCCGGCGUUAUUCCCAUGACCCGGCGGGCAGCUUCCGGGAAACCAAAGUCUUUGGGUUCCGGGGGAAGUAUGGUUGCAAAGCUGAAACUUAAAGGAAUUGACGGAAGGGCACCACCAGGAGUGGAGCCUGCGGCUUAAUUUGACUCAACACGGGGAACCUCACCAGGCCCAGACACCGGAAGGAUUGACAGAUUGAGAGCUCUUUCUCGAUUCGGUGGGUGGUGGUGCAUGGCCGUUCUUAGUUGGUGGAGCGAUUUGUCUGGUUAAUUCCGAUAACGAACGAGACUCUGGCCUACUAACUAGUCGACGGAUCUCCAGCAAUUGGUGUCCAGUUCGCAGCUUCUUCUUAGAGGGAUAAGCGGCAAUUCUAGCCGCACGAGAUUGAGCAAUAACAGGUCUGUGAUGCCCUUAGAUGUUCUGGGCCGCACGCGCGCUACACUGAAGGGAUCAACGUGUCCUCCCCCUCCGAGAGGAGCGGGUAACCCGUUGAAAUCCUUUCAUGAUAGGGAUUGGGGUUUGCAAUUGUCUCCCAUGAACGAGGAAUUCCCAGUAAGCGCAAGUCAUGAGCUUGCGUUGAUUACGUCCCUGCCCUUUGUACACACCGCCCGUCGCUACUACCGAUUGAAUGAUUUAGUGAGGCCUUCGGACUGGCGCUCUUGGAUGCCGGGUCCAUGGUUCCGCUGUCUCGGCGCCUAGAGCUGACGGAAAGAUGUCCAAACUUGAUCAUUUAGAGGA
rnacentral:rRNA from 1 species